rnacentral:rRNA from 1 species
AAUAGAUACCCGGGUAGUCCACGCCGUAAACGAUGAAUACUAGGUGUAGGGGUUGUCAUGACCUCUGUGCCGCCGCUAACGCAUUAAGUAUUCCGCCUGGGGAGUACGGUCGCAAGAUUAAAACUCAAAGGAAUUGACGGGGGCCCGCACAAGCAGCGGAGCAUGUGGUUUAAUUCGAAGCAACGCGAAGAACCUUACCUAGACUUGACAUCUCCUGAAUUACCCUUAAUCGGGGAAGUUCCUUCGGGAACAGGAAGACAGGUGGUGCAUGGUUGUCGUCAGCUCGUGUCGUGAGAUGUUGGGUUAAGUCCCGCAACGAGCGCAACCCUUAUUGUUAGUUGCUACCAUUAAGUUGAGCACUCUAGCGAGACUGCCCGGGUUAACCGGAGGAAGGUGGGGAUGACGUCAAAUCAUCAUGCCCCUUAUGUCUAGGGCUACACACGUGCUACAAUGGCCGGUACAAAGAGCUGCAAGACCGCGAGGUGGAGCUAAUCUCAUAAAAACCCGUUCUCAGUUCGGAUUGUAGGCUGCAACUCGCCUACA